UGGGGAAUUUUGCACAAUGGGGGAAACCCUGAUGCAGCGACGCCGCGUGAUUUAGAAGGCCUUCGGGUUGUAAAAAUCUUUUGUAUGGGAAGAAAAUGACAGUACCAUACGAAUAAGUACCGGCUAAUUACGUGCCAGCAGCCGCGGUAAUACGUAAGGUCCGAGCGUUGUCCGGAAUCAUUGGGCGUAAAGGGUACGUAGGCGGAUAAGCAAGUUAGAAGUGAAAUCCUAUAGCUCAACUAUAGUAAGCUUUUAAAACUGCUCAUCUUGAGGUAUGGAAGGGAAAGUGGAAUUCCUAGUGUAGCGGUGAAAUGCGCAGAUAUUAGGAGGAAUACCGGUGGGGAAGGCGACUUUCUGGCCAUAUACUGACGCUGAGGUACGAAAGCGUGGGUAGCAAACAGG
rnacentral:rRNA from 1 species